GGGGCAAAUGAGUGGAGUUGCUCUAAGAGGUGGGUAGCGUGGGACAUGCACUCAAAGGUCACAGUCCAAGGCAGACUUUGCUUUUUGCAAUUCAACACUUCCAAUUUCUUUCUUUGUUCCUCAAGAUUUGUUAGAUAUGGUUGUUUUGUUUGUCCCUCCCCCACAUGCUUCACUUGACAAACAUGAAAAGGAGAUGAAAUCCGAAAGGCAAGCACAUAGAAAUGACUUUUGAUUUGAGUGUACAUUGCAGGAAAGUUCUUUCUUCCCAUUUCAUUAAUUUCAUGGCCAACUUAAAAAUAAAAAAGAAGCAUGCGGUUGGCUCUUUGUAUAUAUGAUAUGACUGGUAGUUGGGUUGGGAUCCUUUGGGGAUUGGAAGGGAUAGGAAAUAAUGGGGUGGAAAUGGGACGUCCCUCAACAUCCAUGUAGUUGAAGAAAAAGAAUUUCAAAGAGGACAAAUAUCCACCUGGGCCCAAUUUCAUAGAGGCCGGAAAACAGAAAACUAAAGGGAUCAACCAAUUUCAUUGGACUAGUAGAUUUCAACCAAUUUCAAUUGUUUUUCUCUUUUUGGGUUCAAUUAGAUUGGAUUGCACUUAAAAUCUCCAAAACCAACUUAACUGGAUCACAGAAUUUAUUUAAGCCAGAGGAGUACAUUGACUCCAAUAUUACAUCCACCUAAUUAUGCAUAAACAAGGUAAGGUUGCUCAUUUUGGCCUCGACUCAGAAGAAGAAGUGGGAGGACGAACAGAGCAAACUCGGAUGAAACGGUGAAUCAGCAUGGCCUUCACUAACCUCCUCCUUGCUGGAAUUACAGUUCCAGAUUUUGGUUUGAACACCAACAAUGGCUCCUCAGUGUUGUUGUCGAUGUGGGUUUGUGCUGGUUGAUGAUCUUGAGGCGGCUUCAACUUCACCACCUCCUCUGGGCACUCUGUUUUCUGAUUUGCCAUCUUAUCUUUCUCUCUCUCUUUUCUGAGCUGAGCCCGAGGGUGUGUUUAAUUUGGUGUUUGUGGGGAGUUAAUUACUAAUUUGAGCCUUCUUUGAGAGUUUAAAUAAUCGAACAAAGAAGUGGGAUAUAUCUGGCAAAAAGAGAAGAAUCAGAUUCUGUGCAAGCCAUUAACUACAUAUCCCUUGUGUUAAUUAAUUACAAACAUUUGUCAUUUGCAUUUUUAAUUCCUGUGUUACUGCUUCCCGUUAUGAUUAUCUUUUUCCUUCUUGCCAUAGCCAUUGACAAAAAGGGGCAACAACUUUAUAAUAUUAGGUUAAAAAAUGGUUAUCAAUAUCAUUGUUUUGGCUUUGUACAUAUUCUAUUUUUAAUGUCGAUAUAUGAUCGACAUUAUUAGCCUCAAUGAAAACGUACUGAUAUAUUAUUGGUAUAUUUUUUGUAAAGAUCGAUAAAUAAAGACUGAAUGCUCGUAACAGGAGAAACACUUGUGCAAUGGGAGUUUGAGUUUAGUACAACUAUGAUUUUGUAUUUUUCUUAAUAUAAAAUCGGCAGGUGACGUCAGGUAGCAUGACGUGGGAAAUAUAUUGGAUGCAACCAUGAGACCGAGAGAGAGAGAGAGAGAGAGAGAGAGAGAGAGAGAGAUGAACAACACAUCAAUUGUUUAGUCUUUAAUAAACUUUUAGGGAGGAGAAAAAAGUGAAUUUAAUUCUCUUCUUUUUCUCUUCCCAUAUAUGCAGGAAUUGAUUUGAUUCAUAUAUAUCUUCAUUUUUUUUUUUUUACUCUCUAGACUGUGCUACUCUUUGCAGCAAAUAAAUCUAAACGACAAAACUGGAUGCGUUUUGACCACUUUUAGACCCUGCACAAAAUCAUAUAUGCUGCUAAGUUGCUAACCCUAGAAAAUACAAAUCAUAGACUUUAUCAAACAUUUUCUUCAAGGCUCGUCUACACCAGUUGUGUCGUUGUCUUUGUUUUCGGCAGACUUGGUGUGGCCGACAGUGUUUAAAUAGCUAGGUAGAAAUGUGACAUAAAGUCUAGGUGUGACAAAUUUCAAACUCGUCCUUAUAUUCCCUGCUUAAUUAUUUCCAUCGUUUUUAAUAACUGAAGUACGUAAGUCACACACUUUUUUCUUUCUUAUUGUGAUGAACGGUGAUUUUCAGUCUUUUUCCUUCACUGAAUCAAUCUAGAAACAAAGCCAACGAAGCAACAGCAAAGACAAAACGACAAGUGAAAACUGGGCCCCUUUCCCUUCAACUUUGUUAAAGCCAUCUCCAGCCAUGCACUGAUGUGAAAGAGAUAGCACAUCAAUUCCUUAAUCUUUAAUAAAACUUUACGGAGGAAAAAGAAGUGGAUUUAAUUCUCUUCUUUUUUUCUAGUCCCUAUACUCUGAUACUCUGUGAGGUACGCAAAUAAAACUGGAUGACGUAUCAAAAAAAAAAAGAAAAAAAAAGUGGAUGCCCUUUGACUACUUUUAAACCCUACCCAAGAUAACAUAUGCUAAGCCCACAAAUAUUAUUUGAAGCCCCUCCCCUCUGAAUAGUUCAAAGUAAUAAUAGUAAUAUGUAAUCACUAAAGUAAGCAGUUCAACUUCUUUUUUGUGAUGGACGGUUUGGAUGAGUGGUUUCCAAUCUUGGUGCUCAACCUUUUUUCUUCACUGAAUCUAGAAACAAAGCAAACGAAACAAGCAGAGACAAAAUGACAAGUUAAGAAAUUUUGGGACCCUUGGUUCUUCAACUUUGUUAAUGAGGGUAUUUGGGAUGCGCGAUUAUCACAUGAACUUUAAGUAUGUGUAUGAUUAUCACAUGAACUUUUAAUUUUAAUUAUUAAUCACCAAAACUUUAUAAAAUGUAAUAAUUUACCAUCUACGUAUAAUUCCAUUAAAAUUUCCGUUAAGUCAAGUCAUAUUAUAAUUACAGAAACUUAACAAAUUUGAAAAUAAUUAUAACAAAAAAUAAAAAUCAAGCAUAUUAUCUCUCGCCUCCCCCAACAUCUUUCUCCUGCAUUAUCAUUUUGCAAUUCAAGGUGAAGUCUUUCGAAAAGUGGGAGAUAUGCUCAAGAGUUCUCUAAUACAUUAAAACUUAGCAAUUAUGUCCUUUUCCUUUUUUCUUUGUGCUAGUAAAAUUAAACUUCGCAAACCUAGUUAUGGCAGAAUUUGUUAUUGAUUUGCAGAGCUUGGCUCAUUGUUUGUGCAGUGGGGGGAAGAGAGAGAGAGAGAGAGAGAGAGAGAGAGAGAGAGAGAGAGAGAGAGAGGAGUUUUAGGGCGAGUGUGGGAUAGGAGGGAUGGAUUGUUGUGGGCUGUGGCCUUUUGGUUAGGAAGGGGGCUGUCAUGAAGGAGAAGGGGGAAGGGGAGCUUGUGGGAUAAUUAGGUUGAAUUUUGUUUCUUUUUUUUAAUUAUGUUAGUUUAAAAAAAUGUAAGUUUUUAAUUAUAAUAAAUUGAUUUGGCAAAAAAUAAAAUAAUGAAUUGAUGAAAAUCACUUAAAAAAAAUAUUACAUGUUCAACAUGCGACUUUAUUUAAUGGAAAUUUUAACGGAAUUACACGUAUGAGGUAAAUUGCUACACUUUGUAAAAUUGAGGUAAAAAUUGAAAAUUCUAGUGGUAAUCGCACACAUAUCUAAAAAUUUAAGUGAUAUUUACGCAAAUUCUAAGAAAAAUUAAUUAAUUUAGAAAGUGAAAAGUGAAAACUGUCAAUCUUUUGAAGAAAUUGUAAUUAAGGAAGUGACCGACGCCUCCCUUCCCUUCCAGGCAUUGAGAUUUCGUUACUUGUCUACAUUGCAUCUCAUUUCCUUAUAGAAACUAGUAACGCAGAAAAAGAAGUUGAUUUUAAAACACUAACACACAAAUGAUAGCACAAGCAUACUUGAUAUACAUUUUGGAAAAAGCAAGUCAAAAUAACAUCAUCGAUCUACUGUUCUUGCAGGAGGAGAGAAAUAGAAACAUACCAGCACAAAGAAAACUUGAGUACAAAGAGUGAAAGAGCCAAUGCAACUACUGUCACAGAAACCCUUGCAAUUGAUCUCGGCACAGAAUCCUAGCACCCAAACACAAAACGCAAACAGAACAACAAAAAAUCUUCAAUUUCUACUAAAAGCAAGAAAAACAGCCUGCAUUGAAAUUGCACAAUCGAUAAAAGUUUGAAAGUGUAGACUAAACAUAACUUACCGGCACAAGAUUGGUUCCUGCCUCAAUUCCAUCUCUCCCAACCUUCCAAACUGUUUGUACAACUAUUUCACACAAUUCAAACCAGCAGUCAACACAAAUGUAAACAUAAAACUCAACGGUAAACUAUUUGCUCUCUUGUAUGAGCAGGAAAGCAGCAAAAGUAUGUGAUGCAGAAAGGUAGAAACACUGUGAAUUGGAUGUAAAAAUCACUGAAUUGAAACAACGGACUUCCAAAGCACUGAAUUGAAAUCCACAAUCAAUGUUAAAAAUCGCUAGGCGGUAGUCGGGCGCCUAGGCGUUUUUUUUUAAUUUAUAAUUAUUUUGUAUUAAUCGCGGCCUGGUGAUGUUCGUCGCCGGUGGAGGCCUGCUGGUGGUGGUCUGUCGUGAGAGAGAGAGAGAGAGAGAGGAAAAAAAAAAAAAAAUUUUUAAGGAACUGACCCGCCCAGGCUGCCUAACUCCCGCCUAGCCGCCUAGCCCCGCCUAGGCGGAUUUUUCGAACACUCGACAAUUUAACGUUAAAAAUUGUCAUAAUCUAACAGAAAUUAACAUGCUUUCGACAGAUAUUCACCAAUACAAUGCUAUUCAGUUGCAAAAAUACCUUUUAUCCAAAUCCAAAAACCAAAAAUAUAAAAACACGAUUCAUAAAAUAGCAAAUUCGACGAACCCAUUAAACAACAAUGUUCAGGGAUCAUAAAUACCAAACAGAAGAAGAAGAAGAAGAAACGCAAGGAAGUGCAGCUAGCUAACCUUUUAAGAAAUUGGACUGUGCAGCGAACACAACAGGAACAGAGCGAUACCAUCAAUAUCUUUCUCCAAUUUGAUUACUUUACGCAGACUAAUUGAGAGCUGGAACCGCCAUUUUAGCUUUCAACCAGUGAGUCUCUCACUUUCUCUCUCAGCCUCACAAGCAGCGGCUGUGGCCUUUUGGUUAGGAAGGGGGCUGUCAUGAAGGAGAAGGGGGAAGGGGAGCUUGUGGGAUAAUUAGGUUGAAUUUUUUUUUUCUUUUUAAUUAUGUUAGUUUUAAAAAAUGUAAGUUUUUAAUUAUAAUAAAAUUAUUGGCAAAAUAAAAAAAUAAAAAAAUUGAUGAUACUCAAAAUAGCACUUAUUCAACGUGUGACUUUAUUUAAUGGAAAUUUUAACGGAGUUUACACGUAGAAGGUAAAUUGGUACACUUUGCAAAGUUGAGAUAAAAAUUGAAAGUUCAUAUGAUAAUCGCACACAUACCUAAAAAUUUAAAUAACAUUUACGCAAAUUUCCCAAAAAAUUAAUUAAUUUGAAAAGUGAAAAGUGAAAACUAUCAAUCUUUUGAAGAAAUUGUAAUUAAGCAAGUGGCCGACGCCUCCCUUCCCUUCCAUGCAUGCAUUGAGAUUUCGUUAUUGCUUGUUGUUUCUUUUUUGUUUCAAGACAAAUACUUCAAAACGCUAUGCUUUAUUAGGCCAAAAUUAACCAUUAAGCAGAGAAAGAAACCACACCAUUAUAUUAAUUAAAGCCAAGAAACUACAUCACACAUCACUACACACAAAGAAAUUAAAUAAACGAAAACAUUUGCAUGCCUAGAGGAGAUCCAUACUUUUCACUAUCGGAAAAUAUCCAAUUCUUACGAAGAGAAGUCCUACUGCCGCCGGCCAUCUUCGAGCUUUUUGGGAGUUUUCGAGUUCAUUCUCAUGUCUACCAUCAACCACUUCGUGAUUCUCGAUAAAUUUAUCAUGUUCUAAUUUCCUUUUGCUUGGACUAAGAUGCAGUUUAGCCAUGAAUACCUUAUUUAUGAGUUUAUGUUAAUUUGAUAUUAUUUUUCAUAUUAAGUAUCUUUUACCGUUCUUAAUGCUUUGAGUGCUUCAUCACCACUUAAUAUAUUGUAGGUUUUGGUGUUUGUCAUUUCUCAACCUUAUUAGUGUCAGACUUAGAGUGAAUAAUAAAGCGGUUUUUGAUGAUGCAUGGGAUGUUACAUUGUGAGACGCAACCAUUGACGUAAAGUUAAAGCGUGCGGCUGAAUAAUCUCUUUGUCUCUUUUUUCUUUUUCACCAAUUUAUUGUAUUUUUAAAGGGAAUGAAAGAAGAUAACAAUGUGAGUAGUAAAUCCAAUGAAAAUGGAAAAGAAAAUCAAAAUAAUUAACAUGACUAUCAUAACAAGGAAAAUGCUAGAGAUACCUACUAAUUACAUCAAUUUUGAAUCCUAACUGUUGUGACAAUAUUUUAUUUGCUAUAUAUAAAGUUGAAAGUAGAUUAUUAGGUCAUGUUUGGUAUCCUACUCAAAAAAGUAAAUUCAAAAACUAUGAUUUUUUUUUUUAAAACAUGAGCUUUCAAAUAGUGAUUUUAAGAUGUAAAAACUUAAUCCGACAGAAAAAAAAAAUCUAAAAACUUGUUUGGUAUUGAACUCUAAACUAUUUUUAAGAUCUAAAAAAAUUGAAAUUAAAAUCAAAAAAUCAGAAACCCUAGAUUCCCAAAUUGAAAUUAACAAAAGAAAAUUAGGAGAGAGAGAGAGAGAGAGAGAGAGAGAGAGAGGAAGAGGGAGACGGGAGAUGGGAGACAGGAGGAGGAAGAGAUAGAGAUGAGAUGAGAGAGGGAGGAGAGAGAAAGAGACGGAGAGAGCGGGGAGAGAGAGGGGCAACAACUUUGUAAUAUUGGGUUAAAAAAUGGUUAUCAAUAUCAUUAUUUCUGCCUUGUACAUAUUCAAUUUUUAAGACCGGAUGUCCAUAACAGUUGAAACACUUGUGUGCAACGGGGAUCACUGUUUUGCUAUUCUAGCCAAUCACGCAUAUGAUAACUUUUCCACUUGAAAUAGCGUGAUUAGACAAGAAUAGCAAAACAAUACUAUCCAUGUUCCAUAUAAGUUUUUCUGUCGUAAUAGACAAUUACUGAGAAUUUUUAUUUUUUAUUUAUUUUUUUAUUUUAUCAUUACAAUGUUUUUUAACAUAACAACUAUGAUUUCGCAUUUUUCUUAAUAUGGAAUCAGCAGGUAACGUCAGGUACCAUGACGUGGGAAAUAUGUAUAUGUGAAUUGGAUGCAACCAUGAGAGAGAGAGAGAGAGAGAGAGAGAGAGAGAGAGAGAUGAACAACAUAUCAAUUGUUUGGUCUUUAAUAAACUUUUAGGGAGGAGAAAAAAGUGAAUUUAAUUCUCUUCUUUUUCUCUUCCGAUAUAUGUCUUCAUUUUUUCUACUCUCUAGACUCUGCUAGACUCUUUGCAGCGAAUAAAUCUAAACGACCAAACUGGAUGCGUUUUGACCACUUUUAGACCCUGCACAAAAUCAUAUAUGCUGCUAACCCUCUGUCAAUUUCCUGCAUAACAUGUUGAUAUACACAGGCAAUAGCCACGACCAACAAAUUUCUCCACAUGUCAUGCGUGUACAUAUACAUAUUAAUCAAUAAGAUUAAUUUGAUGAUGAAAGUAGCUAGCUAAUUGGUGUGGCUCAUUUGGGUUGUGUUGUUGUCUUUGUUUUUGGCACAACAAAAGUCGGCGGACUUCAUCAGUAACCAGUUGGUGUGGCCGACAAUGUUUAAGUAGCUAGCUAGAAAUGUGACAAAAAGUCUAAGUGUGACAAAUUCAAACUCUUGUCCUUAAUUUCCUAAUCCCCCUAAAUGCCAAAAAGAAAAUGUUAGAUUUUUAUAGUGUCUAUAAUCUUUCACAUAACCUGAAAUACAUAAAAGAUAUAUCUAGCGUCAUUUUCCUUCAGUAAAUGAUUUCUGAACUCAUUCAAUCGCAGCAACAACAACUCUAACAAACGACACAAAUGGCUCAAGACUUCUGCUCUCUCUCAGAAACUAUUUCAGUUAUCUCUUUAUGAUGAGAUUAGGGUUAGAGAACGUGUCUGAUGAGAGCAUGGUCUUAAGCUUAUAUAGGGUUAGGUCAAGUCGUCUCUACUCAUCACUAAGACCCGACUUGACUAACACUCUAAGCCUAUUAAGCGACAGUUCAUGCAAAAGGAAAUAAAUAGGACCCUCCAGUUGGCUUCAAAAUUUUCCUUAUUUCACAAGAUUUUGGGUUUUGGGUCUCAAGGUACAGCAUAAUUUAAACUUUUAUCAAACCUGAUAUAACUUAGCAUCUAGUGCAUCGAUCUAAAAAAUAACAUAAUAGAAAAAUCCUUCUUCCAUCAAAAGGUCAUCUCUACAUCAAGUAAAAUCCACUGGUUAAUUAUUUUCAUCAUUUUUCAGGUGAAUAUUCUUUCUUGACAGGGAAAAAAAAGAAAAGAAUGAUGAGUCGUCAAAAUCUUGAAGAUUUCUGUUCUUUCUCCACCUCCCUGACAAUUACAGAAAGACACUUUACAUAAUUGUAAGGCUGGAAAAAUUUACUCUCCACAUCUUCGUAUGUGGUGGACAGUAAGGGAUUUAUUAAUUGAGUAAUAUAAAACACUUUAUCAAACUAGUUCUUGAAGAAAAGAAUAGAAAUAGUAAAUGUAAUAAUUAAAGAACGUAAGUCACACACUUUCUUCUUUGUUAUUGUGAUGGACGGUGAUUUUCAAUCUUUUUGCUACACUGAAUCAAUCUAGAAACAAAGCCAUCGAAGCAAUAGCAAAGACAAAACGACAAGUUGAAAACUGGGGCCCUUUCUUUUCCUUCAACUCUGUUAAUGCCACUGCCAGCCAUAUGAGAGAGAGAGAGAGAGAGAGAGAGAGAGAGAGAGAGAGAGAGAGAAGUGGCAAAAAGAAGGGUUUGGUUCGGGACAGAAAAGAAAACUAUCUAUCUAUCAAUAAUCUCCUGGAUGGAACAAGUCUAUAUGAAAUGCAUGCGGGCGGGACCAAGUUUAUCUGUAAAUUAUGAGGAAAAGUUGCACGCUUAGGACGUGGGAAAUUCAUAUAUGAAAUGAAAUAUGGAUGCAACCAUGUGAGAGAGAGAGAGAGAGAGAGAGAGAGAGAGAGAGAGAGAGAGAGAGAGAGAGAGAGAGAGAGAGAGAGAGAGCAUCAAUUCCUUAAUCUUUAAUAAACUUUACGGAGGAGAAAGAAGUGGAUUUAAUUCUCUUCUUUUUCUAAUCUCUAUACUCUGCUACUCUUUGAGGUACACAAAUAAAACUGGAUGACGUAUAAAAAAAAACUGGACGCCUUUUGACUACUUUUAAACCCUACCCAAAAUAGCAUAUGCUAAACCUACAAAUCAUGUUCAAAUUGAACCAAACAUGCUUCCAGAAACACUCGCAUUUGGAUAUAUGGUGCUUUACGCAAAGAAAUUAGGUCCACGUGUAAAAGAGCUUGAAUUAUACAGGGUUAUUUUCAUUUGCCAUUGUCCAAGCCCAUCUCUCACUCCUCUUGGGUGUCUAGUAAUUGUAGAAGAUUAAUUUUACAUGAUUCUCACUACAUAAUUAAUAGUCACGAUGGGGUGCUUAAAAACACUAGCGACAUCUAAUAGCUAAUAAUAACUAUAUCAUAAAAUAAAGUAAGACUGCCGAAAUUUGAAGAGAAAUUUUUCCGACUCAUUUUUCAAUCCUGGAUCCGUGCCUCAAGACUGUAAUAUUGUUUUCUUCAAGUGUUCGGGGCUUUGGUCGUAAUUAUAUAUCUUGCUAAUUGGAGUACAUGUAUUAACAAUGAUGAUAUAUAUAUAUGUAGGACUGAAGCCCCUCCCCUCUGAAUAGUUCAAAGUAAUAAUAGUAAUAUGUACUCAUUAAAGUAAGCAGUUCAACUUCUUUUUUGUGAUGGACGGUUUGGAUGGGUGGUUUCCAAUCUUGCUGCUCAGCCUUUUUUCUUCACUGAAUCUAGAAACAAAGCAAACGGAACAAGCGGAGACAAAAUGACAAGUUAAUAAAUUUUGGGACCCUUGUUCUUCAACUUUGUUAAUGAGGGUAUUUGGGAUGCACAUGCAAAUGGAAUCUUAGAACAUAUUUUUUCGUUUAAAAAAAAAUUUAAGAAAAUUUGCAUAAAUACUACCUGAAUUUUUAAGCAUGUGCGCAAUUACCACAUAAACUUUUAAUUUUAAUUAUUAAUCACCUAAACUUUAUAAAGUGUAACAAUUUACCAUCUACGUAUAACUUCAUUAAGAUUUUCGUUAAGUCAAGUCAUAUUAUAAUUAUAAAAACUUAACAAAUUUGAAAAUAAUUAUUAAAAAAAUAAAAAUCAAGCAUAUUAUCUCUCGCCUCCCCCCAACAUCUUUCUCCUCCAAUACCCUUUUGCUUAGGAAGGGGGUUGUCAUGAAGGAGAAGGAGGAAUGGGAGCUUGUGGGAUAAUUAGGUUGAUUUUUUUUUUUUUGCUUUUUAAUUAUAUUAGUUUUAAAAAAUGUAAGUUUUUAAUUAUAAUAAAUUGAUUUGGCAAAAAACUAUAUACAAUGAAUUGAUGAAAGUGUAUUUUAAAAAAUAUCACAUAUUCAAUGUGUCACUUUAUUUAACGGAAAUUUUAACGGAGUUACGCGUAGGAAGUAAAUUGCUACACCUUACAAACUUAAAGUGUUCAAUAGUAAAAAUUGAAACUUUAGGUGGUAAUCGUGUACAUACCUAAAAUUAGUUAAUUUAGAAACUGGAAAGUGAAAACUAUCAAUCUUUUGGAGAAAUUGUAAUUAAGCAAGUGGCGACGCCUCCCUUCCCUUCCAUGCAUUGAGAUUUCGUUAUUUUAUUUGUUUCAAGACAAAUACUUCAAAACGCUAUGCUUUAUUGCCUUGAGUUUUUGGUAGGCCAAAAUUAACUAUUAAGCAGGGAAAGAAACCACACCAUUAUAUUAAUUAAAGCCAAGAAACUACAUCACACAUCACUACACACAAAGAAAUUAAAUAAACGAAAACAUUUGCAUGCCUAGAUAUCCAGAACAUUUGCAUGCCUAGCGAUGCAUGGCCGAAGCUAGGUUAAUUAAUUAAUUUGGGUAAACGUGGUUACUCUUCUUGGUGUUGGAUGUUUUGGGCUUGUCCUGGGUUUCAGAGACUCCAGAUUCAGAAGCCAUGGAAGGACAAACAUGGAGUAUCUGAUCAAGCAUCAUGCUCUUUACUAACCUCCUCUUUGCCGGAAUUACACUCCCUGGUUUUGGUUUGAACCAUGGCUCCUCCUCCCUCUCAGUCUUGUUCUCGUGGGCUGUGAUUUCUUGAGAUGGCGUCAGCUCCUUAUUUGGCUCUUUAUUGCCCCCCACGUACUUAUCUUCCAUAUCUUGGGUCAAGUUCAAUGCCAUCUCUCCUUGUUUUGAUAACAAAGAGAUGAAGAUGGUGAAGAGAUUUAGAGAGAGAAACAGCAGAGAGAAGAGUUCAGAGAAAAGUUGAAAAAUAUGAUGAAUUGCAUGAGGAUUAGACUAGAGUAUUUAUAAACCGGAUUGGAAUUAAAGUUCCAAGUCUGUUAUUACGAGUUUCACCCCUUUAGAAAAAAAAAAAAUUGUAAAACAUGAUGUGUUGAAAUUUUGUCCAAUUUAACAAGUUCAGUCUUAGUAUUUAUAAGUAGUUCAUCUAACAUCGGCCAUAAUAUAAAUUCAAUUUAAUUGAAAAUAUCCAGUUUAAAUCGAGUCAUCAAACGACACGGACCAGCACAAGACUUGGUAACUAACAAUGAAAUCAUGUUAUUAUGUCUGAAACCGCACAUGAUAUAUUGUAGGUUUUGGUGUUUGUCAUUUCUCAACCUUAUUAGUGUCAGACUUAGAGUGAAUAAUAAAGGGGUUUUUGAUGGAUGCAUGGGAUUUUACAUUGUGGGACGCAACCAUUGACGUAAAGUUAAAGCGUGCGACUGAACAAUGUCUUUGUCUCUUCUUUAGUUUUCACUAAUUUAUUGUAUUUUUAAAGGGAAUGAAAGAAUGAUAACAAUGUGAUUAGUAAUAGUAAAUUCAAUGAAAAUGGAAAAGAAAAUCAUAAUAAUUAAUAUGACUAUCAUAACAAGGAAAAUGCUAGAGAUACCUACUAAUUACAUCAAUUUUGAAUCCUAACCGAUGUGACAAUAUUUUAUUUGCUAUAAAUAUAUAAAGUCGAAAGUAGACUAUUAGGUCAUGUUUGGUAUCCUACUCAAUAAAGUAAAUUUAAAAAUUAUGAUUCUUUUUUAAAACAUGAGUUUUCAAAUAGUGAUUUUAAGAUCUAAGAACUUGAUCCAACAAAAAAAAAAGAUCUAAAAACUUGUUUGGUAUUGAACUCCAAACUAUUUUUAAGAUCUAAAAAAAUUAAAAUUAAAAUCAAAAAAAUCAAAAACCCUAGAGUCCCAAAUUGAAAUUAACAAAAGAAAAGGAGAGACGAGAGUGGGAGGAGGAAGAGAUAGAGAUGAGAUGAGAGAGGGAGGAGAGAGAAAAAAAAACUAUAAAACUUCACUUUUGUUGUUUUUAAUAAUGAGGGUGUUUUUGAGUUUUUAAAAAUGGGCCUACCAAACGGAUUUUUGUGGUUUAAAACUUAAAAUCUGUUUUUGAGUUUAUAAAAUUGAGUCAAUACCAAACAUGCCCUAAUUUUUUGAAACUUAAAAAGAAAACAAAUGAAACGAUAAUAAUAUAAGAGUGGAUAUUAAUCAUAUACAUAUAACAUUAUGGCGCGUAAAAAGUUCAUCAUCGGCUUACUCUCGAUUGGGAUGAGGGACUAAUAAACAAAAUAAAUAAAAUAAAAGUUAUAAAGCCUUUUCGGGUUUGCCCAAGCUAAAGCACUACACUUUCGGCCUUGAGCAGUAAUGCUUUACAUACUUUUCAUUUCUUUCUUAAGAAGGUCCCAAUUUGUUCAUGGAUACGUACAUGAAGUUCAUUAGGGUUGGAAUUAAAAAUUCAAAACGUGACGCCUUCCGAAGCCAGGGAUAGUGUAUGAGUGUACCCUAAAGCAAUCAUGUAAACGCAAGAUGGAAUCAUCUGAUCCAUUUACCACCGACUGGUUUAGCUUUUUUGAAGCCACUAAGCGAGAGCUUUAGAUUUCCUCUUCCAUAUGUUUGUUGCACGAGCUUUAGCUUUUUAUGCCACUAAGCUUUUUUCUUCAACAUGUUAAUCUAAGCUUACCACUUAAUUGUGUUUUAUUUUUAUUUAAUCACUGAGACAAAAGCGCACAAUGAGGUGGCUCCACAAUGAAAAAUGUUGGCGUGACUUGUGGAUAUUGACUUACUUUCCUUACACACCAAGAAUUCCUAUUAUUAAAUUAUUUUAAGUGGCUUUUUCCCUUUUCUGCCUCUCUCUAACAUUAAUGAUGAUGUUGAUACAAACAAACGUGCUAAUUAAAUGUCCAUGUCUCAUCUAAGAACUUUGAACAUAUUGAAAGCAAGUGAUGGUGACUGGCUUGGCUUCUUUUUAGGUGAAGAAAUAGGGCUAACGCCCAACAAAGAAAUUAAAUAAUGAUUUGAGGCCUUUAGACUCUAAAUAAAUUUUCAUUAAGAAAAGAUCUAAUACUAUCAAGAGAAUUAUGGAAAGUUGACAGACCCAACUCAAGACACGAACCUAAUUUAAUUAAUCUAUCUGCCACAAUAUUGUAUUCACGAUAUACAUGAUGAAUAUAACAAAUUCAAUUUUUAUUUACAAAGGAUUGGCUUCUUUUUAAAGUAAGUAAAAUACUCACGUAGUUAAUGUAAUGGAAAGGUACCCUUCGCAGUUUGCAUAUAAAUUAUUAAUUGUAGCUUUUCUUUAAUAAAAGAUAUCUAACAGUGAUUCUGUUCUAAUAAUGUUGAAGAAGGUGAGUGUGGCUUUGAGACUUCCCAUUAAGCUUCACCUUGUUAUAUAUUCAUGCGUAUCUAUCUUUCUUUGGCCUGAGUUCUUUUCCAAUCAAAAUUAGCAUCAAUCCAAUUGACUAAAUCAUCAAAUCUACAAGUUGCCAACAAAAUUCAAAAGCCACAGUAAGUUUUUUUGAUACAAGCGACUCGAAUACAGGACUUCAAUACAACUGCAUUAUAUACAUUGAAGCAAAACACCAUGGUGACCAAUUGGGUAAAACUUCAAUCCAAGACAAGACUUUUCUUUUUGCAAUACAACACUUGUAUUUUGUUACUCUCUCUCUCUCUCUCUCUCUCUCUCUCUCUCUCUCUCUCUCUCUCUGGGUAAUUGAUUUAUUAUGCAUUGGUCUAAUGGAAUUGGACCCACAAUAAGUUCUUUGCUUUAGCUCCAACAAGAAGUGACCCCAACAUCUCCCCCCCAUGCAUGCAUUGGUUUCAAUUUUUUAUUUUUUAUUUUCAAUUGGAAUUGGCAAUUUCACCCGUGGUGCUAUAGUAAAGGGUAAGGGCAGACACUAUUUGCGUAAAUAGUGAUUGCCCUAUCCUUUUAAUUUUGCUUUUUCACCUAUUGUCAUGUCAAACUAAGGACAAUUACUAUUUAUAUGAGAUUAAUUUUAUUUAUAUGUAAAAAAACAAAUAUUUCUUAAUGUUUUUGAAUUAUUCAGAAUUUUUUUCAAUUUUUUAUAAAAAAAUUUACGUUGACGUCAUCGUCCUUAGACAAUAGCUAUUCUUGCCUUCGGCACCCAAGCUUGGUGAAGCCUACCAUCUGUAUGGGCUAGAUUGCUGCGUUGGAAAUAAUUUUUGAGACCUAAUGGGCAUUUUGUUUGGACUAGACUGCUAGAGUAGAAAUGCCCUUAUUGAUCAUCAAUUUGAUGGUGGCCCAAGUUCGCUUUAAAGUACCCUUAAUUUGGUUGCUUAAUUAGUAAUAUCCUUUUUUAUUUGGCGGCAAAAGAGUACCCUUAGAUUUAUCCUAGGAAAAUUUAAGAAAAAAGAUUACAGGACAAAAGCCAAACACACAAUUAGAAUUAACACCCUUUUGGAUUAAUUUGUCUGAUUAAUUUGUCUGGAUAUAUAAAUUAAACCAAUCAAUUGUACAUUGUCCAUUCAUCCCCAAAACCAAAAGCCAGAUUAAAAGAGUGCAUACAUGAUCAUAUUCAUUAACAGCAAAAAACUUAAUUACAUCCUAUAGGAAUUAAACGGGGCAUUAAGCUUUUAAUUCUAGGGAAAGAACAUGGAAAAUUAUGUUAUAAAACUGAGUUUCCUAGUCACUAAUUGGUGAGUAUUGACCAAUUGAUUCUAACUGACUUAUUAAAAUUCAUUAGAUUAAUUUAAUAGUUAAUAUUUAUUUAAAUACGUGUAAAUAUACCGAUAUUAAAUACAAGGGCGAGAUUCGAUAAUUCGAUAUAAUUGUCAUCACUUAUAUAAAUUUUUUUUUAUACAAGUGACGCAAAGUAAAUGUUGUUAACACUGCUGCAUUAUAUAUAUUGAAGUUCGAAGGGGAAACUGGAAUAACAUUGAAGCAAAACACCAACUAUGGUGACCAAUUGGGUAAAACUUCUGUGAAGACCCGUAUUUUUCAAAAAUAUAUGAAGAAUAAAUAUUUUGCUGCCUAUUUAGUUAUAUAUUUAAAUUGAUUAUAUAUAUAUAUAUAGUUGUUUUACCAUUUUAAUAAUUAUAUGUAUUUUAUUAUAUUAAAUAUGUAUAUAAGAAGCAUGAAGUAGAUAACAUAAGCUGGAGGUGGCACCAUUUCUUGGUUGCUUAAGGGACGUGUAAACACAUAAGGUUGUUGCCUUGCUAUCCAAGUGGCUAGCUGGCUUUACUUCAUUAAAAUAUUAUCCUAAUACCAAAUGUUAGCACUUAUCCUCAACCUCCAAACAUGUCAACCAAUGAUAGACUGAUAGUUGCCGCCUUUAUUCUAGUAUAAAUACAGAGUUUGCAUUUACAAAUGGUUUACUACAUCUAGAGAAAGGCAUGCAUAGUUUGCAUGAGAAACGAGAGACAAAUAGCGGUCGAGAUAAAAAGAAAGAGAGAGUGGUAAUAAUAUUCUUGGAGGAGUUAGAGGUUGGAGCUUGUGUUUUCUUAACUUGGAGUUAGCUUUCAAAACGAGAUAGGGAUUUUUUGGUGACCUUUUACAAAGAUUGAUCUAAUUAAAUUUCGUGAGUAAUAUAUUAUACAUGAUAUUAUUAUUUGAUUAUUAUUGAUAUUGGGUGUUUAAGUGUUGUUAAUUAUCAUUAUAUCAUUUUAUUAAUAUUGACAUGAUCAUAUGUUAUGAGUGAUAGCUGGAAUUCUUGGAUUGAUAAAGAAAUUAUGGAAAAGAAGGUAAUAGGAAGGAUCUUUUGUGUAGUUGAGUUUGACCAUUGUAGAGACCAUGUUCAGGUGAGCCCAUGUGCACAGUAGACUAGGAAAUCGGCGAUAUAAUUUUCGAUUGGGUAAUUUGGGCUUGGAGAUCAAUAGUGUAGACAAGACGACUAACAAAAGGAGAAUUAUGGGAUGAUUGAAAUGGGUGUUAGUUUAUAUAAAUGGGCAUUCGGGAUCAAGUGGUAUAAGCAUGGUAUGUGACGUGCAGGUCUGCUUGUCCAGUUAUAUGAAUUAACGGGAAUAGAUGAAGAGCAUUCAUGCAUUAUUAUUAUUAAUGUGAUAUUUGGCUGUGUGAUUGCAUGUCACUUAAUUUAGUUAUAUCAAUCUACUGUGGCAAGGUCUCAUGUCCCAACUGAGUGGUGGUUGCUCAUCCUUCACCCUGUUUAAUUUUUCAGAUGAAUUAGUGGGCAAGUCAAGGACUAAACCAGUUGAGGCUGAAUUAGAUGAGAAUGAUAGAGCUUUAUUUAUUUCUUGUAAAGUUGUAAGAUUUUGGAGCUAUUUUUAUAAGAGAAAUUUUAUUUUAAACCCAUGUUUCGGCUUUUUUUAAUUUAAUUUUAGUUUUUAUUUUCUCAAACACCGGGCUCGGGGUUUCCACCGACCCCCGGGUCUAGGGCAUGACAACUUCAAUCCUAGACAGACUUUUUAUUUUGUUACCUCUCUCUCUCUCUCUCUCUCUCUCUCUCUCUCUCUCUCUCUCUCUCUCUCUCUCUCUCUCUCUCUCUCUCUCUCUCUCUCAUUGGUUAAUUGAUUUUUUAUGCAUUGGUCUAAUGCAAAUAUGCCCAAGUUAGUAUGAACUUGUUGAAGUUGACUAGCUUAAAAGAGGUGAAAGGUAUAAAGGAAACAGUCAGUCAAAGAGCUGUAGACAAGUUGACUGGGCUCUGGCACUCGAGCAGCAAAUAGGUGUCUUGAGUGGACGCAGACGCUCGAGCUGGAGGCGCGGAUCCUUGGCAAAUUAGGAUAGAUUUCUUCCUAGUAUUGAGGGUUCUUUAAAUCUCAUAUUCCUUGUAUGAUUGUACUAAAGUCCUAUAUCAUAUAAAUAGGUACUUUAACUCUAGGUUUUAAUAAUGUGAGAAAAUUAAGGCAUUAAAUUGGGUUUGAGCAAAAGGUGUGAGAAAAAAAGAGUUAGGGUGGGGUUCUGCAUUGUAACCAAAGAGGUUUUUUCAUACUAGUGAAUUUCUAGGGGAUCGCCGAAGAGGACGCAGGCACAACGCCGAACCUUCAUAAAUUAUUAUGUGUCUGUGUGUGUGUGUUUACUUUUCUGGUUCGCCUGUGCUUUAUCUUUGCUUGACUUGUAUGUGAUAGUUGCGUAAUCCAUCAACAACAAGGUCUUGGAGUGUUUUUCACAACACUUUGCUCCUCCAAUUUCUUUCUUUGCUCUUGAAGAUUUGCUAGAUAUGGUUGUUUUGUUUGUCCCUCGUCCCCUACUUGACAAACAUGAAAAAGAGAUAAAAUCCAAAAGGCAAGCAUAUACAUGACAUUUCAAAGAAGACAAAUAUCCGACUGGGCCCUAUUUCAUAGAGGCCGGAAUUGAUCGAGCAAUGCAAAACUGUAGGGAGUUUUUAGAUGCUAAGGCCAAAUCUCCGGUGCCUUUUGGGGACGCUUCAGUUGAUCCAAACUUUCUUUCUCAAGGUGGAGGCCUCCAAUGUCAAACUAUGUGAAAAUAAAUUUUGAUGGAGCUUGGAAAAAUGACUCGCAUUUGGCAGGGUUGGGUAUAGUUGCUAGAAAUGCUACCGGAUCUUUUUGUGGUGGUUUAGCAACUCCAUUCCAUUGCAACUUGGCUCUGGUUGCAGAGGCAGCUGCUGGCCUUUGCGCUUUCAAAUUUUCUAUGAAUCAUAUGUCACAUCCGGGGAUCGGCUCCGCCGUAGCACGAUAUUGUCCUCUUUGGGCCCCCCUUUCUGCCCUCACAAUUUUGUUUCUGGGAACUCACGAGCAACUUCCCAAUGGGUCACCCAUCCUUGGAUUGCUCUGGCCCCAACUCACUUAACUUCCGAGUUCCCCUGACUCCAAAACAAGUGAGCUCUCAAAAGGCCUCGUGCUAGAUGGAAACGGACAUGUACAUAUAAGGCACAUCACCCCCUCUCCGUUGGUCGAUGUGGGAUGUUACAAUCCAUCCCUCUUAGAGGCCCGACGUCCUCAUCGGCACACUCGCACCAUACGACAAAGUGGCUCUGAUACCAAAUUGUUAUAUCCCGGGAUCGGCUCCGCCGUAGCACGAUAUUGUCCACUUUGGGCCCCCCUCCCUGCCCUCACGGUUUUGUUUUUGGGAACUCACGAGCAACUUCCCAGUAGGUCACCCAUUUUGGGAUUGCUCUGGCCUCAACUCGCUUAACUUCGGAGUUCCCAUGAUUCUAAAGCCAGUGAGCUCCCAAAAGGCCUCGUGCUAGAUGGAAGCGGGCAUGUACAUAUAAGACACAUCACCCUCUCUCCGUUGGUCGAUAUGGGAUGUUACAUCAUAAUUUCACAUACAUUAUUCUCGAGACGAAUUUGAAGAUUCUGGUGGAAGGAGUCAGAGGAGGAGAAAAAAAAUGGUGUUUGGGCUAUCCAACCUCUUAUGGAUGAGUUUAAGAAGAUCUCUAUUUGUUUUAGAUCUGUUCUUUGGAGCUGGGUGCCAAGGAAAUUGAACCGCGCAGCGCACAAGGCUGCAUCGAUUGGAAUCAGAGCGGAGCAAUAGGAAAGUUGGGAUGUCAGGCCACCUCCGUCUCUUGUGGGAGUUCUAAUGGCCUCUCUUGUCCUCCAUGGAGGUUUUCAUAAAGAAUUGUUGCUUUAGUUUUGCUCUUUUGUGACUUUGGCUAUUUGUCUCGGCUCUCUGUAUGGAGCUUAGUUUAGCCUCUCUCUUGUUUGUUGUGUUUUAUUGGCGCUAUUUUAGCGUUCAGUUUAAUGAAGUUCUUAUUCAGACCGAAAAAUAAAAAACCAAAAAAACCUCCCAAUACAUGUCAUGUCAUGUUUUACUUUGUGUAAGGCCUCAUUCGAUUCUCGGAGAACAUUUUAGAAAAUCCGGAUAAAGUUUGAAAUAUUCAAACCAUAUGGGGAUGAUUAAUUAGAUUGGAUUUCAAGUAAAAUCUCCAAAACCAACUUAAUUGGAUAAUCACAAUGCAGAAGGUUCUCUAAACUUCAUGUAUUAUAUUUAUUGUCGGGGGCAUGCAUUUCUAACUAUAAAUACUUGUAAUAUGUGGAGUUGCAACGAACAAAUUUGUGAGUUUGAUUUGAGUAUUCAAAUAAAGUUAGUGCGGAUCUCUCUUUCAUAAGUGUCUUUCUCUAUGUUAAGAGUUUGUUUGCUUCGUUCUUCUAGUUCUCUACUUGUUAGGGCGGCACUAGAAGCAGAGUUUCGGGGUUUUCAGGUCUCUCCUAGCCACUUGGGAGACAGUGGACCUAUCUAUUUUCCAUCUCAAUUCUGUUCUCGAAGAAUUUUAGGGAUGUGCAUUGGUUCCAUCACCUUACGCUGCAUCACAUUGUCAUCAGUCAUUUGUAUCACCCCGGCAAGCAACAAAUUAUAUCCAAGUAGAACAUAGGAAUCGUUCUAGAAGAUUGUUCCAUAAAAAAGACAGAUGGCUUUGACAGAAGCCAGUGAUUAUAGUUGCAAGGUGAGGCUGGUUUGGACUUUUAAUUAGAAUAAUAAAUAAUCGAAAAUAAAGAAGUGGGAUAUAGAAAAGAGGAAUCAGAUUCUGUGCAAAAAAUUAGCUACAUAUCCGUUGUGUUAAUUAAUUAGAAAUAUAAAGCAUCUUCCUCGUGAAAUAUCAAACAUUAAAUUUGAAUUUGAUAAUUUAUAUUGCAAUUUAACAUGUAAUAGAGAGAGUUUUACAUUCUUCUCGACUUGUCAAAUUAAAAUGUUAUUUUAUUACGUAAUGUACUAGUUUAUUACUUUCUAGAUACGUUGAUUGAAAAUAAAUAAUUAUAUUAUAUUAUAUUAUUAAAUCCCUCCUCCUACAACUCUCACCAAAGUUUAUAUUCCUCGUAUCAUAUUAUAAAGCGAAUUACAUCACACAUUAAAAAACAAAAAAAUUGUAAGUCUAAAACAAAACUUUUGUAUUUCAUGUUUAGUUUUUAACUUCUUUUUUCUCAUUAAUUAAUUAAUUAAUUUAUUGAUAUAUGUGUGAUGGGAGGGGCAGAGAAUUCAUUUCCCCACUGAAAGAGGGGAUGAGGAGCCACCAAUUUGAAUAUUACAAAUAUGUAGGCCAAAAUAGGGGACAAAACUUUAACGAGAAUAGAAAUAGAAACGAUAUAUCCUUCCUUGAUUUGACCCAUUGCCAUUCCUAACUCUAUACAAAGACUUUGGGUCUUUAUUGUUGGUACACUAUCGAUAAUAUGUUGAUAUUAUUAUAGUUAGAAAAAGCGUUCCAACAUAUUAUCGAUAUAUUUUUGCAAAGAUAGAUAAAUAAAGACCUUUUUUAUUUUUAAAUCAAUACAUUGACAGUUUUCCACAUCCUUUUCUUCUUCAAUCAACUUAAUAAUUAAAACUUUUUUUUUAGAACAAUUGAUUAAUGUGUUGAUAUACACACAAGCUAAUUACCUAGUACGGACAAUUUUCCCCAACUUCCAUGAACGUGCAUAUCAAUAAGAUUAAUUUGAUGAUGAAAGUAGCAAGGUACCAGCAAAGACUUUUAACAUCAAACAUUUUCUUGAAGGCUCAUUUGGGUUGAGUCGUUGUCAGUGUCAUUGUUUUCAUUGUUUUUGGCUGUUAUGUUGGCACAACAAAAGUAGGCGGACUUCGUCAGUGAAGGAAAAAAUGUGAUAAAUUUCAGACUCUGUGUCCUUACUUUCCCAAUCCCCCUAAAUGCCAGCCAGAAAAAUCCUUGUCCCAUCAAAAGGACAUCUCCAUAUCAAAUAGACUUUUCUUUGUAUAUCAGGUGAAUAUCUUUAGAUGAUGGCUUAUAUAUUCUUUCUUGACAUGGAAAAAACAAAGAACGAAAAGUCUCCAAAAUCUCGUAGAUUUCUGGUUUUAUUAUUUUAUUAUUAUUUAUAUAAAAAAAUAUAAGUUUCACAUCGAAAACUUGAUUACAUACAAUACAAUAUAUAAUAAAUAAUAAAUAAUUUCACUACUAAUAUUACUGAAGCUUUCAACACUUAUUGAAUUUGGUAAGUGGUUAAAUUGAAAAUAAUAUCAAUAUUACUAGUAAUAAACUAUUAACUUGUAUUUUUAAAAUUCAACAUGAUAUCAUAACAGAUUGAUUGAUUUGACUGCUGCGUCUAUUAAGAAGAAGCAGCAAAAUGAAUAGUAUAAAGGAAAGAAGGCGGACCACAAAGGACUAAUUGGCCAAGAAAGUCCAUGGACUUCAAUAGACAACUUUGUUGUCCACAUUAAAGAAAGAAAAAAAUCAACUUUUCCUUGAGGAAAUUACCCUACAAGUCUACACAUUCUUUCUCCAUCUCCCUGAGUCUUUACAUAGUAGGAAUUAUAAGCAUCAAGCAAUUUACAGAGUAGAUAUUAUAAGCAGAUCAUUAAUCUAUUAAUUAACAAGCCAGAUUACAUAAUAAAAUACUUGCGGGCGCACACACGCACACACACACACACUAUAUUUUAUAUACGGUAGCUUAAUAAAUUCCCGCUUAGAGCGGUGACAUGAAUCAGCAACAAAAAAUCCUCCUCAUCACUGACCUCCUCCUUGGUGGAAUUACAGUGGCAGUAGCAGUAGCAGUUGUGUUUGGUCUGGAGCUGCAUGGCUUAGUGUCGUUGUU
rnacentral:lncRNA from 1 species